rnacentral:snoRNA from 1 species
ACUCCCGUUCUUGGCAGGCCCUGGCUACCCUGUGCCUGGGUCUGUGAUGUCCGGAGGUAGAGCAGCGACUCUUUCACAGGC